rnacentral:rRNA from 1 species
UGCUACCAUGCAAGUCGAGCGGUGAAGCAAAACUUGCUCUGUGGAUCAUUGGCGAACGGGUGAGUAACACGUGAGCAACCUGCCCCUGACUCUGGGAUAAGCGCUGGAAACGGCGUCUAAUACUGGAUAUGUGACGUGGCCGCAUGGUCUGCGUCUGGAAAGAAUUUCGGUUGGGGAUGGGCUCGCGGCCUAUCCCUUGUUGGUGAGGUAAUGGCUCACCAAGGCGUCCACGGGUAGCCGGCCUGAAAGGGUGACCGGCCACACUGGGACUGAAACACGGCCCAGACUCCUACGGGAGGCAGCAGUGGGGAAUAUUGCACAAUGGGCGAAAGCCUGAUGCAACAACGCCGCGUGAGGGAUGACGGCCUUCGGGUUGUAAACCUCUUUUAACAGGGAAGAAGCGAAAGUGACGGUACCUGCAGAAAAAGCGCCGGCUAACUACGUGCCAGCAGCCGCGGUAAUACGUAAGGCGCAAGCGUUAUCCGGAAUUAUUGGGCGUAAAGAGCUCGUAUGCGGUUUGUCGCGUCUGCUGUGAAAUCCGGAGGCUCAACCUCCGGCCUGCAGUGGGUACGGGCAGACUACAGUGCGAGUA